rnacentral:rRNA from 1 species
UACGUAGGGGGCAAGCGUUAUCCGGAUUUACUGGGUGUAAAGGGAGCGUAGACGGCUUUGCAAGCCAGAUGUGAAAGCCCGGGGCUCAACCUCGGGACUGCAUUUGGAACUGUAUGGCUGGAGUGUCGGAGAGGCAGGCGGAAUUCCUAGUGUAGCGGUGAAAUGCGUAGAUAUUAGGAGGAACACCAGUGGCGAAGGCGGCCUGCUGGACGAUGACUGACGCUGAGGCUCGAAAGCGUGGGGAGCAAACAGG